UACCUUGAGUGGAGUGGUGCAUGUUAUAUCUCAAAUGUAUUAGCUCUUCUGUGUUAUCUGCUGGACCUGAUAAGAUAGAGAUACCGGGAUGGCAUUGUAUACAGUGAUGGAUGCAGAGGAAGCCCAUCGUCCUGACUGUGUGAGGUGACGAGUGAACAGGUGGACAAGAUUCGGAAUAAAGUGAAGCAUGUUACGUUGAAUGAUAUAAAGAAUUGAUUUUUGUGUGACAGUUUAGUAUUACAUUUAAGUUGUGGAAAAUACCGAUGUUAGACAAAAAGAGGAGAAGCGAAGUAGAAGAGAGAUUUGAGUCGUCAGGGAUAGGAUGCAAGCUGGCUCUGAAAGGCUAUCGCUACAGUGACAACUAAGGAGUCUGUCGAUCACAAGCGAGACCUCCACGAUGGAACAACAAGAGGUGAUUUACAGCAACGUCCAGGGGGAGAGUGACUCAAAUUAUGACAUGGACGGCCUAGACUGCCCGGUGUGCCUGGAGCCUUACGAUGAGGGCCGCCGCACCCCCAAGAUGAUGCCAUGCUUGCACACCCUCUGUACCUCCUGCAUCACCAACCUCACGUGCAACAAUGCUCAGAAGAACGGGCUACAGGAAGUAGCCAACACCACAGCUACAAUUUCUGCUGCUAAUACUGCCAGGAGUAGCCGCAUCAACGCCCUCAUCAACACCCUGGAGACACGUACGGGCCAUGCAGCUCUCCGUCGCAUAGCUGGCCAAGGACCAACCUCACCCACCACCAGGCAGCCCCAUGACCCUCUUCCCCCAACCCCAACCUCAUCCCCGGCAACACCCACCUCCCACAUGUCAGUCAGGCGGCCCGAGGUCAGCCCACCAUUGCCCCCCAAUGCUGAACCACAGAUACCCAAGGGUUUGAUGGUGAUAUGUCCGCUGUGUCGCUCGGAAGUCAGCACCAACAAGCUACAGACCAACAGGUACGUCCUAGCACACAUGAGGGACCUGAAGAGGCUUUCCAGGGCUCCAUCUGUACCUGAGGUGUCCUUCGCGCCGCAGGACUUCUGGUGUGAGGAGUGCAAGGAACCCGCCACCAACACCUGCCGCUACCAUGAACUCACUCCGAUAGCAAAGUGGGUGGAGACUCAGAGGGCCACGCUGGAGAAUCUUCAGAUGGCCGUGGAGGACCAGCUGGACCAACACAGCGGCCACCUCCAAGGGCUUGAGGACAUGAUCAAGGAGGUUUUCCACUCCCUCAAUAAAGCCUCAAAGUUCAUCUGGGACACGAAGAAGCGGCUGAAGGAGAUGAAGGAGGGAGUGAAGGAGUGCAGCACCCCCGCCUCGGGCUCGCCCAGAGAGGAGGCGGAGAGGCUGGUCAAGGAGGUCGCGUGGCUAGAGCGGGAGGCGGCCAAGGCAUCGCGAAGGGACCUUACGGAGGGGGACAACGAUGUGCUCGUCUCCCUGCACGAGGACGACAAGAAGAGGCUGCUCGUCAUCACCUACAACCCCGACCUCGCCCUCGCCAUCACGCUCUCCCACGGCCACACCAACGUCUGAGAGAGAGAGAGAGAGAGAGAGAGAGAGAGAGAGAGAGAGAGAGAGAGAAUGUGAGAGGAAUCGAGAUGGCAAGGUUGAUAGAUAGGCAGGAAGAGAGAGAGAGAGAGAGAGAGAGAGAGAUAAAGGAGACAUGGAGUGGAGAAAUCAAAAGCAGAUAAAGAGGACGAAGAGAAGAGAAGGAAAUGAACAAAGGAAGGGAGGAAUGAUGAACUUGAAAAAAAACAUGUGCGGUAAUUAAAGAUCAGAGAGGAGAAAGGUAAAGAAAGUAGUAGGUUAGGAAUACAGAAGGAAGAAUGGAUGGGUAUAUGGGCUAGAGAGAGAGGUGGGGGGGAAGGGGAGAGGAAGGAAUUCAAGUCACCCGUAUUAUACUUAUGGAGAAGACAUACAAACGAUCAGUUGUUAGGACGGGGUAAGAACCUCAUUUAUGGGCUCCUAUUGAGGUUCGUAGCCGAGUCUCUCUCAGAACGUUCCCUAAAAAUUCCUUCCCCAACGUGAGAACAGGCAGCAUAUAUACGUACGAGAGAGAGAGAGAGAGAGAGAGAGAGAGAGUCACACGUGGCCACUCAGCAACCUCCCUUUAUGCCCCCUUAGUCGUUUCCAAGACGCUCGUUUGUCUCCCUGAGUCACGAUGAUGAUGAUGGUGACGAUGAUGAUGAUGCCCCGGAGACGUGAAUGCUAAUAAAGUGUUAAGGAGGCGGCCACGUGAUCGAUAGAGGUGAUUUGUGGCGUCAAAAUAGGAAGGCGGUGAAGGGCGGGGGAAGAACGGCUUUUAUGAACGCCUGUUGAGGUUCGGAGCCGAGUCUCUCUCCGAACGUUCUGUGAAACUCCCUCCCCCAACGUGAGAGAGAGAGAGAGAGAGAGAGAGAGAAGCCUGUGUGGAGGAAUGUGUGUGAGAGAGCGGCCGUACGUGUGUGUGUGUGUGUGAGAGAGAGAGAGAGAGAAGGCUUGUGUGUGUGUGUGUGUGUGAGAGAGAGAGAGAGAGAGAGAGAGAGAGAGAAGGGGCUGUACGUACGCGUGUUGUGUGUGUGUGUGUGUGUGAGAGAGAGAGAGAGAGAACGUACCGUGUAUAAGGGGGAGAGAGGGAGGGGCUGGCGUGUGUGUGAGAGAGAGAGAGAGAGAGAGAGGUGGCCUUGCUCAACAGGUUUCAUUACUUCAUUUUAUGUUCUGCUGUUGGACGUCCGAGUCACAUUAUGCUCAUACGUUCUCUCUUUCUCGAUCCGUUUUUGCCACCACACACGUGUCAGCCUUGUUCUUCUCUUUCUUUUCCUUCUUUCUCCCGCCUCUCCCUUCCUUCCCCCUACUUCCAUUAGUUCUUUUUCCUUUUAUUUUUCUAUGGGUGGGAUUACGACUUGUUCUUGUUGUUCUCUUUUUCGCUCCGUUUUUUUUUUGGGGGGGGAGGGGGGCACAUGUUCAGUUUUCCUUCUUUUUUCUUUCCUUUUCUUCUUUCCCUCUUUUCUUCCCCUUCCUUUAGUCCUUUUUCCUUAUUUUUCUAUGGGUGGGGUUACGACUUAAUUGUUCCUCUUGUUCUCCCUUUCUUGCCCCCUUUUUUUACCACAAGUCUAGUUUUCU